rnacentral:rRNA from 1 species
UGUAAGCACAUGCCUUAAAACGGUAAAGCCGCGAAUGGCUCGGUAUAACAGCCACUGUUUAUUAAACUCUAGUUAUCUACUUGGAUAACUGUGGCAAUUCUAGAGCUAAUACAUGCACGCAGGCUCGGACCUUUUGGGAAGAGCGCAUUUAUUAGACCAAAACCAAUCGGGCUUCGGCCUGUGUUUUGGUGACUCUGAAUAACUCAGUCGAUCGCACAGUCUUAGUACUGGCGACGUAUUUUUCAAAUGUCUGCCUUAUCAACUUUCGAUGGUAGGUUAUACGCCUACCAUGGUUAUAACGGGUAACGGAGAAUUAGGGUUCGACUCCGGAGAGGGAGCCUGAGAAAUGGCUACCACAUCCAAGGAAGGCAGCAGGCGCGCAAAUUACCCAAUCCCAGAACGGGGAGGUAGUGACGAAAAAUAACGAGGUAAUCCACUUUGUGGCUUGCCAUCGGAAUGGGCACAAUA